rnacentral:misc_RNA from 1 species
UUGGUUAUAUCGGGUAUUUAGUGAUUUCAUUUCAAAUGAUCUGAACCUUCCUCCUACUGUAUUAUCUUAGUGUCUCUACAUGUUUCAAGGACAUGCAUUGUGUGUUUUAGAAGUUUUUUUUCCUUCUUUUCCUUGAAUCAUUGGCUGUUGCAUGUAGAGGGAUGUCCUUUACUCGUGUAUAAAAGGUUGUGUAUCAUUUUCUUUUCAUGGUAAGUUUCACGGUGUAUGAAGUCUUGACUAGCAGAAAGCUUCACCUUCAUAUCAUCCGUAGUUGUUCUAUGCUGGAUGAG